GAAAAUAACAAGGGGGCAUUUGACUUUAUUUUUGUGGAUGCUGACAAGAAUAACUACAUAAACUAUCAUAAGAGGGUGCUUGAUCUUGUGAAAGUUGGAGGAUUGAUUGGAUAUGAUAAUACCUUAUGGGUUGGAUCAGUGGCAGCUCCAGAUGAUGCACCUAUGCAUAGUUUUAUUAUGAAUUUACGUGGUUAUGUGAUUGAGUUCAACAAGUAUUUAGCUCAAGAUUUAAGGAUUGAAAUUUGUCAGCUUUCGGUAGGUGAUGGAAUUACCUUAUGUCGUCGCAUCUAUUGAUCUCUCCUUCUUGGC
rnacentral:lncRNA from 1 species